rnacentral:rRNA from 1 species
AGAGUUUGAUCAUGGCUCAGAUUGAACGCUGGCGGAAUGCUUUACACAUGCAAGUCGAACGGCAGCAUAGAGAGCUUGCUCUCUGAUGGCGAGUGGCGAACGGGUGAGUAAUAUAUCGGAACGUGCCUAGUAAUGGGGAAUAACUAGCUGAAAGGUUAGCUAAUGCCGCAUACGACCUACGGGUGAAAGCAGGGGAUCUUCGGACCUUGCGUUAUUAGAGCGGCCGAUAUCUGAUUAGCUUGUUGGUGGGGUAAUGGCCUACCAAGGCGACGAUCAGUAGCUGGUCUGAGAGGACGAUCAGCCACACUGGAACUGAGACACGGUCCAGACUCCUACGGGAGGCAGCAGUGGGGAAUUUUCCGCAAUGGGCGAAAGCCUGACGGAGCAACGCCGCGUGAGGGAUGAAGGCCUCUGGGCUGUAAACCUCUUUUAUCAAGGAAGAAGAUCUGACGGUACUUGAUGAAUAAGCCACGGCUAAUUCCGUGCCAGCAGCCGCGGUAAUACGGGAGUGGCAAGCGUUAUCCGGAAUUAUUGGGCGUAAAGCGUCCGCAGGCGGCCCUUCAAGUCUGCUGUUAAAAAGUGGAGCUUAACUCCAUCAUGGCAGUGGAAACUGUUGGGCUCGAGUGUGGUAGGGGCAGAGGGAAUUCCCGGUGUAGCGGUGAAAUGCGUAGAUAUCGGGAAGAACACCAGUGGCGAAGGCGCUCUGCUGGGCCAUCACUGACGCUCAUGGACGAAAGCCAGGGGAGCGAAAGGGAUUAGAUACCCCUGUAGUCCUGGCCGUAAACGAUGAACACUAGGUGUCGGGGGAAUCGACCCCUCCGGUGUCGUAGCCAACGCGUUAAGUGUUCCGCCUGGGGAGUACGCACGCAAGUGUGAAACUCAAAGGAAUUGACGGGGGCCCGCACAAGCGGUGGAGUAUGUGGUUUAAUUCGAUGCAACGCGAAGAACCUUACCAGGGUUUGACAUCCUGCGAAUCUCUUGGAAACUUGAGAGUGCCUUCGGGAGCGCAGUGACAGGUGGUGCAUGGCUGUCGUCAGCUCGUGUCGUGAGAUGUUGGGUUAAGUCCCGCAACGAGCGCAACCCUUAUUUUUAGUUGCUUUUAAAGAACUCUAGAAAGACUGCUGGUUAUAAACCGGAGGAAGGCGGGGAUGACGUCAAGUCAGCAUGCCCCUUACACCCUGGGCUACACACGUGCUACAUUGGGCGAGACAAUGAGAUGCAACUCUGUGAAGAUUAGCUAAUCUAUAAACUCGUUCUAAGUUCGGAUUGUAGGCUGCAACUCGCCUGCAUGAAGGUGGAAUCGCUAGUAAUCGCUGGUCAGCUACACAGCGGUGAAUCCGUUCCCGGGCCUUGUACACACCGCCCGUCACACCAUGGAAGCUGGUUAUACCCGAAGUCGUUAUUCUAACCAUUUGGAGGAAGAUGCCUAAGGUAGAAUUAGUGACUGGGGUGAAGUCGUAACAAGGUAACCGUACUGGAAGGUGCGGUUG